rnacentral:rRNA from 1 species
UACGUAGGUCCCGAGCGUUGUCCGGAUUUAUUGGGCGUAAAGCGAGCGCAGGUGGUUUAUUAAGUCUGGUGUAAAAGGCAGUGGCUCAACCAUUGUAUGCAUUGGAAACUGGUAGACUUGAGUGCAGGAGAGGAGAGUGGAAUUCCAUGUGUAGCGGUGGAAUGCGUAGAUAUAUGGAGGAACACCGGUGGCGAAAGCGGCUCUCUGGCCUGUAACUGACACUGAGGCUCGAAAGCGUGGGGAGCAAACCGG